UNUAAAGUAAGCUAAUUUAAGCUAGUGGGCUCAUACCCCAAAUAUGAAUAAUUUUCCUUUAUUA
rnacentral:tRNA from 1 species